rnacentral:rRNA from 1 species
UACGGAGGGUGCAAGCGUUAAUCGGAAUUACUGGGCGUAAAGCGUGCGCAGGCGGCUUUGUAAGUCAGAUGUGAAAUCCCCGAGCUCAACUUGGGAACUGCGUUUGAAACUACAAGGCUAGAAUAUGUCAGAGGGGGGUAGAAAUUCCACGUGUAGCAGUGAAAUGCGUAGAGAUGUGGAGGAAUACCAAUGGCGAAGGCAGCCCCCUGGGAUAAUAUUGACGCUCAUGCACGAAAGCGUGGGGAGCAAACAGG